CCUCUUCCUCCCUCCCUCCCUCCCUUAACCACCCACUUCUGGAAGCCUUUUGGCUUCCUACCCCUCCUCCCCCGCACCCCAAGUGCACUAAAAAGAUAGUAUUUUUCCUUUCUCAGGUAAGGGGUUUAUUGGGAACAAACAGGAUGGGGAUUGAGGUGAAGGGGAUGAGGAUGUCCCUAAUCUAAAGUAAGAUUAUGAGGGUUUGAGAAACCAGUCCAGUAACAACUGUGAGAGGGACAGUUAGAGAGAUGAAUGGAGGACAACUGUUUAAAAUCUUCUUUAUUCUUCAUAAAGCCAUCAAGGUCUCUCAGCCUAAUUUCAGAAGCCCCUCCCCCCCAAGGGUCCUUCAGUUUGGAACAGAAACUAUCAAUAUUAGUUCAGGGCUUCUCUCCUUCAGACAGCCACCAAGAAAAUCUCUCCUUCAGUCAGACUUUCCUCCAACUGUUGGUCAGUAAAAUCUCAGAGAGAGAGAGAGACAGAAAACAAAUCCCCCUGGCCAGCUUCAACUCCCAGAGCCAGAGACAAAAUCAAAGUCCAAGAUCCUGCUUCUUCUUCUCUGUGGCCAGACCCCCAACUGCCUCUCCUCCUGGGAACAUUCCAUUUGGAACCUUCUUCUUGAUUGACAGAUCUUCAAGGAAAAACCUUGCUAACUCCUAA
rnacentral:lncRNA from 1 species